AUGAACGCCGGCGGCGUGCCUAAUACAUGCAAGUCGAGCGAACAGACGAGGAGCUUGCUCCUCUGACGUUAGCGGCGGACGGGUGAGUAACACGUGGAUAACCUACCUAUAAGACUGGGAUAACUUCGGGAAACCGGAGCUAAUACCAGAUAAUAUAUUGAACCGCAUGGUUCAAUAGUGAAAGACGGUUUUGCUGUCACUUAUAGAUGGAUCCGCGCCGCAUUAGCUAGUUGGUAAGGUAACGGCUUACCAAGGCGACGAUGCGUAGCCGACCUGAGAGGGUGAUCGGCCACACUGGAACUGAGACACGGUCCAGACUCCUACGGGAGGCAGCAGUAGGGAAUCUUCCGCAAUGGGCGAAAGCCUGACGGAGCAACGCCGCGUGAGUGAUGAAGGUCUUCGGAUCGUAAAACUCUGUUAUUAGGGAAGAACAAAUGUGUAAGUAACUAUGCACGUCUUGACGGUACCUAAUCAGAAAGCCACGGCUAACUACGUG
rnacentral:rRNA from 1 species